rnacentral:rRNA from 1 species
AUCAAUGGCCAUGCUACCCUGAACAAGCCCAAUCCCAUCUGAUCUCGGAAGCUAAGCAAGGGCAGGCCUGGUUAUUACUUGGAUGGGAGACCACCUAGGAAGACCAGGUGCUGUAGGCG